rnacentral:rRNA from 1 species
UACAGAGGUCUCAAGCGUUUGUUCGGAUUCAUUGGGCGUAAAGGGUGCGUAGGUGGCGCGCUAAGUCAGGUGUGAAAUUUCGGAGCUUAACUCCGAAACUGCAUUUGAUACUGGCGUGCUUGAGGACUGGAGAGGAGACUGGAAUUCACGGUGUAGCAGUGAAAUGCGUAGAUAUCGUGAGGAAGACCAGUGGCGAAGGCGGGUUUCUGGACAGUUCCUGACACUGAGGCACGAAGGCCAGGGGAGCAAACGGG